rnacentral:rRNA from 1 species
GACGAACGCUGGCGGCGUGCUUAACACAUGCAAGUCGAACGGAAAGGCCCUGCUUUUGUGGGGUGCUCGAGUGGCGAACGGGUGAGUAACACGUGAGUAACCUGCCCUUGACUUUGGGAUAACUUCAGGAAACUGCGGCUAAUACCUGCUAGGAGCUCCUGCUGCAUGGUGGGGGUUGGACAGUUUCGGCGGUGGGGGAUGGACUCGCGGCUUAUCAGCUUGUUGGUUGGGUAGUGGCUUACCAAGGGUUUGACUGGUAGGCGGCCUGGGAGGGUGAACAGCGACAAUGGGACUGAGGUACGGACCAGACUGCAACGGGAGGCAGCAGUGGGGAAUAUUGCACAAUGGGCGGAAGCCUGAUGCAGAAACCCCGCGUGCGGGAUGACGGCCUUCGGGGUGUAAACCGCUGUCGGCUGUGACGAGGCGGGAGUGACGGUAAUGGGUAAAGAAGCACCGGCUAACUACGUG